rnacentral:lncRNA from 1 species
GUCUUGCAGGCUGGGGUCCCAGGUGAGAGAUGCCAGCAGGGAGCUCUAGAUGGGGAACUGGGUGAGCCUGGCUCGGUAAGGGCGUGCUCAGAACACCCCAUCCCCGAACACGGUCUUGUGUGAUAAAAUGUCACGCAAGAAGAAUCUGAAACCGCGAGAAGAGGAGGACACGGCCAGACUGCACCGAACCCCGGCACCUCUGUGGGGAAAAGCAGGUCAGGCUGAGCGGGGCCGGCGGGGACACGCGCUCCUGGGCUUCUCCAGAGUCUGCCGGGGCCGGGCCCGGGACCGAGGCUGGGACGCGCUGUGCAGUCCCACCCCUCACACCCCUCGCACGCCUGGAAACACCCUCGGGGUAACACAAGCCGGGGUUGAGUUUCUUGAAGAGAAGCUGGCUGCAUCCUGGAGCCAGGGAAAGAGGAGCACAGGGGCCAAGCGGUCCAGGGCCACGGAGGAGCAGGACCCCUGGGGAAAGGCCCGGGUCUAGGCCGGGGCCAGGGGACCGUGGUGGAGACCUCAAAAAUGGCAGAACACGGAAGCAGGGCGAGAAAAGUAAACGUAGUCCUUGCGGCAGUUUGAAAUACACGCGGGUAAACGCUGGGUGACUCCGCCCGGAUGCAGAGUGGGGGUCUGUGUCUCUCCCCACAGGCUGCAGGGACCGGGCUCUGGGUAACCAGCAGAAGGUAACAGAACGAGGCUGCUUUUCCUCCAGGCUGUUCUGGUGUCCGCGCGUGGCUUGUGCGCUGACUCCUGACUUGGAGCGCCGCGUGGCCAGAGAAAUCUGGGUGCCUCCAGGCCACCAUGGUGAGAGGAGAGGCCACCGCACGAACGGAAGAAGCGAUGGAGACGGUCUUUACGACCUAAGAACAGAAAGAGUUUCUUAUACACAAUCCGAAAAGUAAAAAUUGAUUGAUUGAUUGAUUGAGAUGGAAUCCCACUCUGUCGUCCAGGUUAGAGUGCAAUGGCUUGAUCUCGGCUCAUUGCAACCUCCGCCUCCCGGGUUCAAGCGAUUCUCCUGCCUCAGUCUCCCGAGUAGCUGGGAUUAUAGGCGCCCGCCACCACGACUGGCUAAUUUUUAUAUUUUUAGUAGAGACGCAGUUUCACCGUGUUGACCAGGCUGGUCUUGAACCCCUGACCUCAGGUGAUCCGCCUGCCUCGGUCUCCCAAAGUGCUGGGAUUACAGGCGUGAGCCACCGUGCUGGGCCAAAAAUCAAUUUUAAAACGACCACAUGAAAAAUAAAUCUCCUGUAUCACAGAGCAUGUUCUGAGGAAAAUGAAAGCCACAGAUCCAGAAGAUAUUUGUGACACAUAUGAAAAACAAAAACUCAUAUUCAAAACAUACACAGCAUUGCUAUGAAUCAUUAAGAAAAAUGAUUUCGUCUCCUCUACAGGAGCCUGAGUGAAGGACAAGGACAGAUCAUUAUAAACCAGGGAGCUUGAAGAGCUAGUUAACAAGCACAGAAAAUAUGUUCCCCCACACUGUUAAUCAAGAAAAUUAAAACUGUAAUGAGAUGCCGCAUUGUAUCCAUGGGAUUUCUAAAAGUACAAAGUUCCACAAUACCCGUUGUUGACGGAGCAGGGAAACCGCAGGAGCCUGCAGGAGAUGAGAUUGUAAAUGUGCAAGGACAUUUUGGAGAAGAGUUGACAACAUCUCACUCACGUGUAUCAAGCCAAGUGCCGAAAGAAGAAUUGGUUGUCAUAAAGAAAACAGAAACCCAGAAUGGAUGUAGCUUAUCCCUCCGAUGGAAAGUUACAAAGAAGUUAAAAUGAAUGGGCUGCAUCUCUGUGUAACAAUUUGGAUCAAUAUCAAAGACACAUUUGUUAAAGCAAGGUGUACAAUGAAACCUGCAACAUGAUUUGUCUGUUUAGUAAAACACAGAAAAUCUAACUCCGCCUGGCUUACGAACACACACAUGUGUUAGAAUUUGGGAAAAGGAAAGGGAGGGAGGCCGGCUACACGUGAACUUUUGGAAAAUCUCAGAGGGUCUGGGGCACCAGGUGGAGACCAUGGCAGCCUUCAGGGAUAUGAGGUGAGUCCUUCAACUACAUUUGCAAGGUUUUAUUUCUUAGGAAAAUAUUUAAAGCAAAUAUUUCAAAAAUGACUAAAUCUGAGUGGUAGGGAGUCACUGUUUUAUAGAUUAUUCACUUUUCCCUGGGCUUGGAAUGUUUCGUUUUUUCAAAGGUCAAAUGAGAUGCUGCCUUUCCACCAGAUAAAGAUUUACCUGGUGCCUCUGUUACUGCCCAGCAGCGCCUGAGGACGUGGGGGCUGCUGCCCAACACGGAGGCUGGGCUGGCCUGGUCCGUGGGCUCAGGUUCUCAUCCUCUGCACGUGCAUCUGCCUCCUGUGCGUCUCUGUGCACACGCUUGUAUCUGGAUGCAGAGUCCUGUGCCCAGUGUACAUGCACAGAUGUGCGCAUCUGGGUAGAUGUGCUGGUUCGCUGUGUGAGCAUGCACAGACCCUUGUUCACCGUGUGUGCGCAUCCGUGCAGUGUGGACAUCUGGACAGGACCCCGUGCUCCCUGUCUCUGCCGCUGAGAUGUUUCCUAGCUGUGCACAGAAUUCACUCUCCUACUGGAGGGCUCUGACUGAAAGCUCUGAUGCGGCAGGCCUUCUCUUGACACUUGGUUAAGAAGGAUGUGUUUGCUUCCCCUUCUGCCAUGAUUGGAAGUUUCCUGAGACCCCUCCAGCCAUGCUGAACUGAUUUCCUGAAGACACCAUCCCAGUCAAGUGGUCUGCCUCAUACUGAGCCACCAGACCACCCAGCAUGUCCUCACCCGCGUGGACAGAUGACAGGGGGCUCUGAGCAUGCCCCAGUGCACCUUACGCACCUGUGAAGGUUGGGAGCCUGAGUGCAGCUCCUGUGGCACUGCCCGUGGCCAGGGAGAUGCCUCCUCAGUGCUCCUGACCCUCGGUGGAGGACCGGCCAGCGUGUGUGCCGACAGUGUGUCCACACAGGUGUGCUGCGCCCAAUGGGCAAGUCGGAAACAAAGGAAAAUGCUCUCUGAAGGAAAAGGCAAAGCAAUUUGGAUUUCUGCGAGAAAAUGAGACUGCAUGUGGCACUGUAAAUACCCUUGCUGCUGAACUUCUCGCUCCCCCCAGAUACACCCUUCAUAUUGACAUGUCUAGAACCUUAAACUGAACCAAGUUGAAAAGUGAGAUUAAUUAGGGCUGAGUUAACAGUUAACACAUACAAUGAAAUAUUGAAUAAGGCUUACUGAGCAAACAAGAAUAUACAGAAGUGGAGGAGACAAAGAGGAUAUUAAAAAUGCAGACAGUGAUGAGGCAGAUAGCUGGGACAAAUAAUGAAAAAUAGUAAAGGAGAUAAGGCAGAUAUUGGAGGAGCAAAGAGUCUCUGAAAUAGAUAUCGGUAUUGAAAGAUGCUAAACACGCUUCUAAAGAGACUUUCUAGCCGACACAGGGAGCUCACUGAUGGAUGAAGUAGAAACAUUUUUAAAUGGAAUCAAACAGGGCAAAGCGGGAGAAGAAAAAGAAGUAGGUAAACCAGUAAAUUAACUUUUCUCGUGUGUGCUGUGUACUAUUUGUGAGUGAGCAAUGAACGCUGUGGCUCCCUGGAGGGGCUGUGGUGGGAAGUUUCACUGCGAUCAAGUAGAGGUGGUGCCUUUGGACCUCUUCUCCUGAACCUGCAGGGAGAGGCGCAGAAUAUUCACAAGGUGAAGAUGCAACAAUUCAAAUGAGUGUCCAGGUUUUCAGGGUGGUUGCUAAACCCCAAAAGACCGAUAGCUUCGGGCAAAAGACUGCAGAAAGAACAGCUUUACAUUUUUACGGAAGCAAUGGGAAAUAUACCCUGUAAGCCUUGAAAAAUUCCCGAAGGGAUUCCUGUUCAUUCCUGUGGAUCCUAAUGGGCCAGCAUAGACCUGUUAGUCAAAAGAGGAUUUAUCUACAUUGCACACUCAUUCAGGCAGGCAGGGAAGUCAACGCCACUUUCAGAUGUUUGUAGAGCAUGAACUCUGUCCGUUCCCACGCCCUCCAAAGGCUGUUACACAGGGAUGCCCGCUUCUGGACAGAAGUGAUUCAUGCAGGAUGAGAACCAUGACCACAGAAGAUUUUGUGCAUGUGGUUAUUUCAAUAUUUAAUUUAAGUGUAUGCAUGAGUGUUCAGGAUAAAAAUGCUUGGAGUGUACUUUAAUUCCAUUAAAAAUGUAUACAUUA